AUGGCGCAGCAGCUGCGGGACAGCCCUGACCUGGCUGGUUUCCAGUUCUACAAGCUCAUGGCUGCCGGAACGUCCUGGGAGAAGCUGAACGUGCCUGUGGAGUUCAGCCAGUCGCACGGGUUCACGGAGAAGGGCAGGGUGGUGCUGCGGAUGCGCGGGCAGCAGUGGACCGUCUGCCUCAAGCACAGCAACCGGCGCAAGGGUAACGCGAGGACCCGCACGGCGCUGAGAUACGGGUGGAACCGGUUCCGCGUCGACAACGGCCUCCGCGUCGGCGACAUCUGCUUCUUCCAGCUGGUGCAUGAUGCCGGCGGCGACGACCCGGUGCUCAGCGUCGAGGUGCGCAAGGCGGACGGAACCAUCGUCCAGUGA
rnacentral:rRNA from 1 species